rnacentral:ncRNA from 1 species
AGCUAAAUAUUGGGGAGAGACCGAUAGCAAACAAGUACCGUGAGGGAAAGAUGAAAAGCACUUUGGAAAGAGAGUUAAACAGUACGUGAAAUUGUCAAAAGGGAAGCGCUUCAAGUCAGAUAUGGCUUUGAAUGUUCAGCCUUUAGGUGUAUUCAUUUUUUGUCAGGCCAGCAUCGAUUUUGGACGUCGGAUAAGGGUAGAAGGAA